GCCAGCCUCGGUGGCGGAGCAGCAGGAGACGGCUCUGCCGGAGGACCCCCAGCAGGCUGAGUCUCUGUCUGAGGACGCGGAGCCAGCCUCGGUGCUUGAAGAAGCGGAGGCCAUCGUAUCCACAGCAACAGAACCUUCAGAGGCUCCGGAGGAGAUGUCUCAGGAAACCAAAGAGCAGGAGGAGCCUGACAAAGCUGUGAAGACUGGAUGCCAACUAAUGUAAAAACAGGUGAAAUCAUUUUACACACAGUAAAGUGGAGGAGCUGUACUGAAGCUGCUCCCGGAUGGUAAAUUGUGCUCCGUGGAGACGGAUAAUGUGCCUUUCCCGGCGUAUCUCCUGGGACACGGCAGUAGUGCCCAUUUAGAGACUCACUUCCUCUGCACUACUUCCUGUCCAAAACGCUCAGAGAUGAUGACUGGCUAAGCGGAGAAUAACAGGCCUCUGGCUGCAGUCACUGCUCAGGGAUUUUACGAGCACUCAUCUCCAGCAGUCAGCAGUUAUUUAUUGAAAGCAUUAAGAGAUGCAUAUUUUUUAAUUAAUGUCUUUUUGAACUUUACAUAUAUCUGAGUAAUGAAAGCUGUUCUUAGGGGCGAUGCACAAUUAUGUUAGCGAUGGUUUCAGAAUGAUAAUCUUUGGAAUGUCAGAUUUUACCUGACUGCAGUUGCCCAUUGCUACAGCAUAUGCACUGUUAUAAACUUGUGCAUGUAGAUGGAAAUAUCCAGAAUUUCAGACCUUAACAGCUGUAAAAUUCACCUAGAAUGUCUGCAUUUCUUCACUGACAUCUGCUGUUUAAAAUUCUCAAGAGCUCCAAUGUUUUCACUGAGAAAAAAAAUACAUUUGUAAUAUAUGACCAUAUUAUCGUAAAUGGUCCCCUACCUCAGCUUGUGAUCUUUCUCAGGAAGUUUUGUGAAUUUGAGCUCUGUGCUGUCUGCAGUGCACUGUAAGGUUGAUGUACCACAGUAUAGUCUGCU